GUGGGGAAUCUUGCGCAAUGGGCGAAAGCCUGACGCAGCCAUGCCGCGUGAAUGAUGAAGGUCUUAGGAUUGUAAAAUUCUUUCACCGGGGACGAUAAUGACGGUACCCGGAGAAGAAGCUCCGGCUAACUCCGUGCCAGCAGCCGCGGUAAUACGAAGGGGGCUAGCGUUGCUCGGAAUUACUGGGCGUAAAGGGCGCGUAGGCGGACAGCUUAGUCAGCGGUGCAAGCCCAGGGCUCCACCUUUGAAUUGGCUUUGAUAAUGGCUGUAUUGAGUGUGGGGGAGGUGAGUGGAAGUCCGAGUGUAGAGGUGAAAUUCGUAGAUAUUCGGAAGAACACCAGUGGCGAAGGCGACUCACUGGCCCAAUACUGACGCUGAGGCGCGAAAGCGUGGGGAGCAAACAGGAUUAGAUACCCGUGUAGUCC
rnacentral:rRNA from 1 species